UGUACUGAGCUUAUGUUCUCCACCCACUACUUAGUAAGAACUCCUUAACAACUUAAAGCUUUAUCCCUGUGAGUACCAGAAAAGUGAUUUGAGUAUUUAUUGAGCAGGGAGAACAAACUGCUUGCUCCAGGCAGGGAGAAAGCUUAUGGAAAUUAUAUUAGACCUUCAGCAAAGUGCACAGCUGCAUCAUACAGAAGCUGAGACUCAAACUGACAGGCAAAUAAGCCAGAUCACGGAAGGGGCCUCUGUGUGGCAGCUCUGAGCUACCAAGUGUUGGACAACUAGGCAAAAAGUGCAAUGGAACAGGGCAGAAAAUAACACACUAACUUCAGGCAACUGUUGCUUUUUCAUGGCCUGGAAAGUAACAUUUUCUGUAGAUGUCAGCUUCUGUCUGGUGUGAUGCCCCAUUCUUCUGGUGAUGACACAUGCCACUACUGAGUAGUACUGGCAAAUGGAAGAGGCCUCUUGGAAUAAGGUGAACAGCUGCCUUUCCGUUUUGCAGCGGGACCGUGUCUGCUGCUGCACAAGCCGCAGAGCUGUUGGGGAAUGGUACAGACAGUGAGAUGUGGGUCAGUACUCGGUGGCAGUUUGAAGGAAGAACAGAGCAGAGCAAGAGAAGCCAACUUUAGGAGCAUUCAUAUUGUGGUAUCCUCAGCGAUUUUUUUUACAACACAUUCUGCUCAGGCCAGUGAAUUUUUUUUACUGACCAGUGAAAGAAAAAAAAUAAAAUGAAAAAGGAAACUGAAGAACUUAAUUAUACCAGAAUUCAGCGAAGCUGAACGGCUUCCCGAAGAGCACUGAGUUUUCUAUGCCAGAUUCUGCUCCAGUGGCUAGGACCUUUAUGGCUGCUGUUUCUUUUGCUCUGGGCUCUGAUGGAGGAAAAAAAAAAAAAAAAAAAGCCACGGUGGAUCCCGUCCCUAAAGUAGAAAUUUUCUUUUUCGUUCUGCAUACAAGGCUAAAGACCGGAGGAGAAUGAAUGCGAAAGUAAUUCGGGAUCGUGGUCGUGCCAUUAAAAGUGUUCGGCUUCAGAACGAAAUUAUUCGGGAAAUCUGAGCAUUUCUUCUUACUGUACCGACAGUAUUUGAAAGUUACGUGUGCUUUGAGCAAUCUGGUUCAAGUGACAACAAUCUCUGCAUGUCAAUGUUUUCUACAGCUUAUGGAGCGAAAGCUAGUUUUGCCAUUGGAAAGGAAGAAGCUUUUGCUAGCAGUCUGUAGAAGGAUUAAAUGUUGAGCGUGGGGAAGAGGCAAAAAGUGAAUACACGCCCAAAGGUUAUCCUUGCAUCGUGAAUGGGUUUAAAGUACUCUGUAACCCAGGGCCCACCUGAACAGUAGGACUAAAAGUAGAAUGAGGAAAUAUUUCAAUUAGAAGCCCCUUAACAAGCAUUUAAUCCUUCUUUCAGGCAUUAAGGGAAAUAGAGUAAAAUUGUUACUGUACAAAUCUGCUGGAAGCAGAUUUUAACCCAUUUUUAGACGCUUCCCUCUGGUGCAUUAUAAUAUGGCUACUUGCAAGACGAGGCAGUGAAGAUUUUUUUCCUGUGUUCUUUGUUUUUUCUUUUCAAAAGUUAAGGACUAUAAUGUAAGAAAAGUCUGUUCAGUCAGCUGAUACAUUGUUUGAAUGUA